rnacentral:rRNA from 1 species
AUUGAACGCUGGCGGAAUGCUUUACACAUGCAAGUCGAACGGCAGCACGGACUUCGGUCUGGUGGCGAGUGGCGAACGGGUGGGUAAUGUAUCGGAACGUGCCCAGUCGUGGGGGAUAACGUAGUGAAAAUUACGCUAAUACCGCAUACGAUCUAUGGAUGAAAGCGGGGGAUCGCAAGACCUCGCGCGAUUGGAGCGGCCGAUAUCAGAUUAGGUAGUUGGUGGGGUAAAGGCCCACCAAGCCAACGAUCUGUAGCUGGUCUGAGAGGACGACCAGCCACACUGGAACUGAGACACGGUCCAGACUCCUACGGGAGGCAGCAGUGGGGAAUUUUGGACAAUGGGCGAAAGCCUGAUCCAGCCAUUCCGUGUGCGGGAUGAAGGCCCUCGGGUUGUAAACUGCUUUUGUACAGAACGAAAAGGUUUCUACUAAUACUAGGAGCUCAUGACGGUACUGUAAGAAUAAGCACCGGCUAACUACGUGCCAGCAGCCGCCGUAA